rnacentral:rRNA from 1 species
CAUGCAGUCGUACAUGGAUACCACAGCUUGUGGGGGGGAUUAGUGGCGAACGGGUGAGUAACACGUGAGUAACCUGCCCUUGACUCUGGGAUAAGCCUGGGAAACCGGGUCUAAUACUGGAUACAACCUUCCCGCGCAUGCGGGGUUGGGGGAAAGCUUUUGGGGUUUUGGAUGGACUCGCGGCCUAUCACCUUGUUGGUGGGGUAAUGGCCUACCAAGGCAACAACGGGUAGCCGGCCUGAAAGGGUGACCGGCCACACUGGGACUGAAACACGGCCCAAACUCCUACGGGAGGCAGCAGGGGGAAAUAUUGCACAAUGGGCGCAAGCCUGAUGCAGCGACCCCCCGUGAGGAAUGAAGGCCUUCGGUUUGUAAACCUCUUUCAGUAGGGAAAAACCUGAUUCCUUUUGGGGUUGGUGACGGUACCUGCAAAAAAAGCGCCGGCUAACUACGUGGCAGCACCCCCGGUAAUACUUAGGGCGCAGGCGUUAUCCGAAAUUAUUGGCCUAAAAAACCUCGUAGGCGGUUUGUCGCGUCGGCCGUGAAAUUCUGGGUUUAAUUUCCGGAUUGGCGGGGGAUACGCCCAAACUAAAGUGCAUAGGGGGAAAACUGAAAUUCCGGGGAGAAGCGGUGAAAUCCCCAAAUAUCGGGAAAAACCCCAAGGGCAAAGGACGGUCCCCUGGCCUGUAAUGGAACCUUAAAAACCAAAACCUGGGGGAGCAAAAGGAAUA